GGUUGAUCCUGCCAGUAGUCAUAUGCUCCGUUCAAGGGCUAAGCCAUGCAUGUCUCAGUGUACAUGGAUUGAGAGUGGGUCUGUGAAUGGCUCCUUACAUCAGCAGUCAUCUCUGUGAUAGAGUGUGGAUGAUGCCAGACUUCCAGGCAUCCAAUGGACAUCCUCCAAAACCUGGUGGCUAAUACACGGAAGCAACAGUCCCCUGUGUCAUACAUGGCCUUUGGAAUGCCCCUCCCUGCUGACAAGGGCCAGCAGUGGAUUGCAGCCAGCCGUCUGGAAGACCAAGCGCCUGGCCAAAGGCAGUAUGCAUUGUGGUUGACUCAGGCUGAUCCCCCCUGUGGACACCUGCUCUGGCAGCAUCUUGAAUGUGAGGUUCACCCUCACAGCUGGCUUGAUCACAAGAACUUCUGACCUAUCAGCCUGGACGGUGGUGUAGUGGACCACCGUGGCUAUAACGGGUAACGGAGAAUCUGGGUUUGAUUCCGGAGAGGGAGCCUGAGAGACGGCUACCACUACCAAGGUGGGCAGCAGGCGCGCAAAUUGCCCAAUACAGACACAUUCUGUGAGGCAGCAACGAACCGCAACAAUCUUGCCAGGCUCUUUCUCAUCAAAGCCAGCGGGAUCUGUAAUGGAUGCUAUCCAAAUCCAGUGAUGAGAACCAACUGGAGGGCAAGUCUGGUGCCAGCAGCUGCGGUAAUUCCAGCUCCAAGGGCGUAUACUAAUAUUGCUGCUGUUAAAACACUUGUAGUCUGCCACUGGGUUGCAGGUCUGCCGGUGGCCAACUGUGCCUGUCUUGUGCCCCAAAGGUCCAAGCAGGUGCAUUGGGACUCAACCACCGGCAGUAUGCUCCUGCACCCACUUACAUCACAAUGAUGGUGAGACCUGCUCCUGCAAGGAGUCCUCUUCAGUGGGGUCCCCAAGCAGCAACACACUCAAAGCUUGUCAAGGCCUUCAGGGACACAGUCCACCUGUGCAAUACCCCAGUCUGCUACCGGAGCCCACCAUCGCAGUCACCGUGGAAAACUCAGUGUGCUCAAGGCAUCCACUUUGGCUGGAUGCCCAUCCAUGGAAUGACAAAGCACCGCCCAGAUGGGCCAAGGAGUUGUGCUGGCCUUGGAGCCCAUUCAGGACAAUCUGAUGCUGUGAGCUGGUGUGUCUUGGUCUGCUUCCAAGGGAGGGAUGACAUGGCUCCCAGGAGCAUGCUCCCAACCUGGACAGGAGUGCCUGCCCCAUGCUAUGCAAGUCAUUAACUGGAGAUGAUGGGACCAUCCAAGGUGGAAGGUAUUGCAGCGCCAGAGGUGAAAUUCUUAGACCGCCGCAAGACUCACAGCGGCGAAGGCGUUCUACAGGGCUGAGUCCGUCGAUCAAGAAUGAGAGUCUGGGGAGCCAAGGUGAUUAGACACCUCCGUAGUCCAGGCUGUAAACCAUGCCGGCUGGGUGAUGAUGGGAGAUGCAUUGCAGACCCACCACCACCAACUGCCAUAUACCCCUGCAACGAGAAAUCCAAGCCCUUGGGUUCAGGGGGGAGUACUGCUGCAAGGCUGAAACUUAAAGGAAUUGACGGAAUGGCACCACAAGGCGUGGAGUAUGCGGCUUAAUUUGACUCAACACGGGGAAGGUUACCAGGUCAGGACAUGUCAGGGAUGGACAGAUUGAGAGCUCUUUCUUGAUGGCUUGGAUGGUGGUGCAUGGCCGCUCCUGAUUGGUGGAGUGAUUUGUCUGGUUGAUUCCGUUAACGAGUGAGACAUCUACCUCCCACUAGCCCCUGCCUCGCACUCUAUGUAGGGUGGAUGGUGCCCCUUCCAAAGGGGCCAACCGGCUCCUUUGGUUGGGCUUCCGGUGGGCUUCCUCACAGGGGCCUGCUGGAGUUGUACCAGUGUUCCCCCGAGAGACAGGGUUAACAAGCUUCUCUGAGGUGCUGAGCGUCAUUCCAAACAGCGCUAGCAUGCGAGAUACAACAGCAGGUCUGUGAUGCUCCCAGAUGUCCUGGGCCGCACGCGCACUACAUUGACACAGCCAGGGUGUUGAUCCAAGAGAGCUAUUAGCUCUGGAUUGCCUUGAAGAGGGUGAGAAACCAUGCCAGUCUGUGUUGUCCUGGGGAUAGAUGCUUGCAACUGUCUGCCUUGAACGAGGAAUGCCUUGUAAGGGUGUGUCAUCAGCGCACCCUGAAUACGUCCCUGCCAUUUGUACACACCGCCCGUCGUUGCUACCGAUGAUGAUAGGGCAGAGCCAUCCAGAGGUGCCACACCCUCAUGUUCUGGUGUGAACCGAACUUGGGCAAUGUCAAGCCAUUAGAGGAAGCAAAAGUCGUAACAAGGUUGCUGUAAGGUGAACCUGGAAAAAGGGGA
rnacentral:rRNA from 1 species